ensembl:lncRNA
CAAACAUGCAUCAUUACAGCCCUGUAUUGGAGUGUGUGAUUGUAUAUUGCUUGUGUAGAGUGUCAAGCGUGCGUGCUACACAUUGUGCCUGGAGAGAUUGAUGUUUUGUCAUCCACCUGCUUCUAAGCUGUAAAAGCAAGCGCAGCAAAGGCAAACCUACCCAGCUUCAAAAUCCAAACAAAGAAAUCUUAGUGGGCUGUUUACAUAUCUGUGCAAGGAUAUCUGUGCUUGUGUUGACGGGGUGCUAGAGUGGCUGAGAGAUCAGUCCCCGCACAAUGGACGAGUGGGAAAUCAAAGACUGGAAUGCUGGGAGAACGCUGGAGAAAUUGACGAAGGGGUGAGCUCUGGAAAGGAGGACAGAUACUUCCUGUUCCUUCUGGAGUGACCCGCAGGUCUGAGGAGGAGUGAGGGAGAGGAAGGUGGAGAAAGUUAUUUAAAAAAUUCUUUCCAAGUACCCAGUGAAACCUGCUAAAGUACCCUCUGGUGUAAACAUACCCCUGGUUGGGAAUCAACGAUGUGAUGGACAAACAAGCACAAACUUGGCGAUAUCUGCAUCAAAUCUCCCAGAGCCGGGACGAGAGCAUCGCUCACAGAUUUAUGAAGAAUCCAGAAAUGUGUCUCAUCAUUAUGAAGGAAGGUCUUUAACCAGUCCAACUCUUGGCAGGUGCAGAACACUAAAGGACCAUUUUAUUUCUAAAUUAGUCUGAAAGGCGCACCACAAAGACUGGAAAUGCUGCUGCCCUUUCAUUUUAAAUGGGCUGAAAGAUCAGAGAAACCAAGCCUUUAAAGCUCUUCGUCUGUAAAGAGAGACAGGGAGGAAAUGGCUGCUAUUAAAGAGUCUGCAAGGGCUACCCACAUAACCUACCAGCACUGCAAAGCACUUCAUUCAGUCUGAAACAAGCUCUCUCUUCAAAGAAAGAAAAGAAAAAAAUGUCCCAAAGAAACAGAACAAGAACUGUAAAUAUUCUUGUACUUUUAUCUUGUGCCUGUUUGUUUUUAGAUUUCAAGUUAAACACAAUUUUACAAAUGUUUUAUACUGUGGCACAGUAUGCCCAGCAUUCUUUGUGUCUGAGGUCAAAAAAGAGAUAAUUUGAUCAAAUCUGAUUACUCUCUAGUACUAUUUAUGUGUGUGAAAUUCAUUUUGGAUAACAUAGUUCAUUCUAGUUUCAGAUUUUGCUUUAAAUAAAAUGGCAUACACUAUUGUUAUAUUUGGUGGUAUUAAGUUGUUUGAUACUGUCUACACUUCCUUUGACACUUUUUAGCUUGACCACAAUUAAAAUAACACAGUGCUAAACUGUUAAAAAAUGAAUGAAACUUGUGUCAUAAAACUAUACCAAACAAUUCAUUACAAUGGGAUUUUCCCCUUUUUUGAGUCUACUUUCAUUUACUGAGCAGCAGAAAUUCCACUUAAAAAUGAUUUGAAUUCAUUUUGAAACUGUCUUCUACCAUGGCAGAUGAUUUAAGAGAAAAGGAAAAAUUACCAUACUGACCAAAUAAGAUUUAAGAAGAAAUGCUUCCAAAGAAAAGCAUUCCUCUGCAAAGAACAAUAAAAUAUAUAGUUAUUUUCCUAAGUCAUUCUUUGAGAGAAGAAUUUUCCAUGGCAAGCAUCACUGAUAUUGCGGUUGAUUUUUUCUCUCUUUUUUUGGGUCAAGUCCAAAGUGUUGCUGACCGCAAAGCCAUUUGUCAAUGGGAGACUUUGUUUGUUCACCUCCCUCAUGGAUUACUCCACUGAGUAUGGUCCUCACCUGGGCCUGCUUUAAUAGGCAGGGACAACACCUGAAGCUCCCGCUGAGGGGCUGUCUGUCAUGGCACAUGCCUGACUUCUGUAGUAUUUGCUGAUUUAUUUCAAGAACAGUGCUUGCACUUUGUUUUUCUUCUCUUGAGUCACAGGUUUAGCAGUAAGAAAGCAUUUCAUUACAGAAAUUACAGGAAUUUAAGUGUGUUCAGGAAAACAACCGAUAAGCAAAAGGUCAAUAAGAAAGGCAUUAAUAGAAUUUUUCUAAAUGUUACUAAAUAUGUCAUUUGUUACAAAACAAAUGAAAUAAGAGAAGAAAUCUGUGCAGUCUUCAAAAAGAAAGACGCAAAGUGCCCCUAAUGCCACCUGGUAUGGCAAUGUGUCAUUCCUUUCUCCUCUGUGCAUGCAGUGGCAGGUGAUAAAGCACUUUUACAAGCUGCAGUAAAGUGCCACUUGUAUGCUACCAGAUAGUGGAAGAUGUUGGAAUCUUUUAUGUACUAUUAUAAUAUUAUUUUUGGUUUUGCAUCCAUAUUUAUUGCAUCUCAGUGUCCUUCACCCAAGGCACUGCAGUUAUUGCAUGCAGGGAUUGCAUUGUAAAAACUUAAUGCAGGCAGACCAUUGGGACAGGAGGACGUCACACACUCUGCCACACAGGUUUGUGUGCUUACCGCAUAAUAUAAUUGGCCCUCUGUGAGAGACCCCGCUUUAAUAAACGAGGAAAGAAGUUUACAGUAGCACUGAUGGGCACUGGAGCUGACUUCAUUAGAACAGGCCAAAAAAAAAAAAAAAAAAAAUCUGAAUGCUUUUAUCCUUUAAUACGGUUGCUCAAUAUUCUAUGAAAUGGUUAUACAAAAAUGUGUUUUAACUCCAAAAUCAUUUUGCUGGGAGUGAUAGUGGAGUAAUAAAGAAGUUAUUGACUAAAUUAUAUUGAUUGUCUAGUCCCCAAGUGCUGACCUUGGAAUCACUCCAUCCCUUCUUCCUCUAUGCCUCCCUGCACAC